CAAUAGCGUAUAUUAAAGUUGUUGCAGUUAAAAAGCUCGUAGUUGGAUUUCUGGUUGAAGCGACCGGUCGGGCGUUGAUUCGUCUGCACUGGAGUCGGUUUUGGCCAUCCUCUAGGAAAGUGCGUCUGGUAUUAAGUUAUCGGGCGUAUGAUCCUGGUCUUUUACUGUGAAAAAAUUAGAGUGUUUAAAGCAGGCCUUCGCCUUGAAUACAUUAGCAUGGAAUAAUAAGAUAGGACUUUGGUCUAUUUUGUUGGUUUGCAGACCGAAGUAAUGAUUAAUAGGGAUAGUUGGGGGUAUUUAUAUUCCGAUGUCAGAGGUGAAAUUCUUAGAUUUUCGGAAGAUAAACUUAUGCGAAAGCGUUUACCAAGGAUGUUUUCAUUAA
rnacentral:rRNA from 1 species